UACGUAGGGGGCUAGCGUUGUCCGGAAUCAUUGGGCGUAAAGAGCGUGUAGGCGGCCCGGUAAGUCCGCUGUAAAAGUCAAAGGCUCAACCUUUGAAUGUCAGUGGAUACUGCCGGGCUAGAGUCCAGAAGAGGCGAGUGGAACUCCUGGUGUAGCGGUGGAAUGCGCAGAUAUCAGGAAGAACACCAACGGCGAAGGCAGCUCGCUGGGACGGUACUGACGCUGAGACGCGAAAGCGUGGGGAGCGAACAGG
rnacentral:rRNA from 1 species